rnacentral:rRNA from 1 species
CCUACGGUGGGCUGCAGUGGGGAAUAUUGGACAAUGGGCGAAAGCCUGAUCCAGCCAUGCCGCGUGUGUGAAGAAGGCCUUCGGGUUCUAAAGCACUUUCAGUGGGGAAGAAAGCCUUGGGGCUAAUACCCUCGAGGAAGGACAUCACCCACAGAAGAAGCACCGGCUAACUCCGUGCCAGCAGCCGCGGUAAUACGGAGGGUGCGAGCGUUAAUCGGAAUUACUGGGCGUAAAGCGCGCGUAGGCGGUCUGAUAAGCCGGUUGUGAAAGCCCCGGGCUCAACCUGGGAACGGCAUCCGGAACUGUCAGGCUAGAGUGCAGGAGAGGAAGGUAGAAUUCCCGGUGUAGCGGUGAAAUGCGUAGAGAUCGGGAGGAAUACCAGUGGCGAAGGCGGCCUUCUGGACUGACACUGACGCUGAGGUGCGAAAGCGUGGGUAGCAAACAGGAUUAGAUACCCGUGUAGUC